rnacentral:rRNA from 1 species
GAAGGGAUAGGGUCGGUUUGGCCGGAUUUCACACAGGUGUUGCAUGGCUGUCGUCAGCUCGUGUCGUGAGAUGUUGGGUUAAGUCCCGCAACGAGCGUAACCCUCAUCCUUAGUUACCAUCAGAUAAUGCUGGGGACUUUAAGGAAACUGCUAGUGAUAAACUGGAGGAAGGUGGGGAUGAUGUCAAGUCAUCAUGGCCCUUAUGGAGUGGGCUACACACGUGCUACAAUGGUGGCUACAAUGGGCUGCAAAGUCGCGAGGCUGAGCUAAUCUCUUAAAAGCCAUCUCAGUUCGGAUUGUACUCUGCAACUCGAGUGCAUGAAGUUGGAAUCGCUAGUAAUCGUGGAUCAGCAUGCCACGGUGAAUACGUUCUCGGGUCUUGUACACACUGCCCGUCACGCCAUGGGAAUUGGUU